rnacentral:misc_RNA from 1 species
AACGCACAUUGCGCCCCCUGGUAUUCCGGGGGGCAUGCCUGUCCGAGCGUCAUUGCUGCCCUCAAGCCCGGCUUGUGUGUUGGGCCGCCGUCCCCCUCUCCCGGGGGACGGGCCCGAAAGGCAGCGGCGGCACCGCGUCCGGUCCUCGAGCGUAUGGGGCUUUGUCACCCGCUCCGCAGGAACCGGCCGGCGCCGGCCGACACCAAUCAAUCUUUUUCCAGGUUGACCUCGGAUCAGGUAGGGAUACCCGCUGAACUUAA